rnacentral:pre_miRNA from 1 species
AGUAGAAUUGUUGGGUUACAUACACCAUAUAAAAAUGUAUAUUAUAAGAAACUGACAAACUGUUUUCUAAAGUGGUUGUAUCAUUUUACAUUCUCAACAGCAGU